rnacentral:antisense_RNA from 1 species
GGAUCGUGGUGGCUGCGCUUGCGAGCACCCUGAGGUAGAUUGGGUGGUUUCAGCAGGAACGCAUCCACUGUCUGAGAGUUUAAACUUGAUUUUGUGAGGGGACGAACAGCGUGACAAUUAAAGAAGAUCUAGGAAUCAUCCAAUGUGAUAAUUUAUGUGAAAUCUUUCUGCAAACUAUACAGUAUGAUAAAAAUAUAAGGUAGUUUCACUGGAAACAACAGAAGACUAGAAGCUGAUGUGACGUGGCAAUAUCAACCAGGAAUACCCAUCUCGAGUUCUGGAUAUGUGCUCUGAGAAGGUGCCCAUGUCACCGACCACACUGGAGGCCAAUGCAGAUACUGGGGGAAGGUUCCAUGGUAGCUAAGUGUGGACAAGCUAAUCACUGAAGUUCCCUGAUGCAGAGCUGAUAAUCUCUCUAGAGUUGGAUGAAAGACUGUGCUGCCUUGAAGCUCUGAGAGAUGCCAUGCCAAUUCAAGGCAGGGUCUUUAUUGUUGAAACUCUUGCGUAAUGACAUCUUUAUUCAGGUGAAAAUACAGGAUGAAUUUCAACUGUAUGAUAUUGUUUAUGUUCAUCAGACAUGUUAUUUGUC